rnacentral:rRNA from 1 species
GAUGAACGCUGGCGGCGUGCCUAAUACAUGCAAGUCGAGCGAACGGACGAGAAGCUUGCUUCUCUGAUGUUAGCGGCGGACGGGUGAGUAACACGUGGAUAACCUACCUAUAAGACUGGGAUAACUUCGGGAAACCGGAGCUAAUACCGUAUAAUAUUUUGAACCGCAUGGUUCAAAAGUGAAAGACGGUCUUGCUGUCACUUAUAGAUGGAUCCGCGCUGCAUUAGCUAGUUGGUAAGGUAACGGCUUACCAAGGCAACGAUGCAUAGCCGACCUGAGAGGGUGAUCGGCCACACUGGAACUGAGACACGGUCCAGACUCCUACGGGAGGCAGCAGUAGGGAAUCUUCCGCAAUGGGCGAAAGCAUGACGGAGCAACGCCGCGUGAGUGAUGAAGGUCCUCGGAUCGUAAAACUCUGUUAUUAGGGAAGAACAUAUGUGUAAGUAACUGUGCACAUCUUGACGGUACCUAAUCAGAAAGCCACGGCUAACUACGUG